AAACCAGCUCCGCGAGUGGUCGGGACUUUUACUGGGCUUAAAGCGUCCGUAGGCGGUUCCGCGUGUCCGCGGCCAAAUCCCAAGGCUCAACCUUGGGAACGCUGCGGAUACUGCGGAACUAGGGACCGGGCGAGGGCGGGGGUACUCACCGGGUAGGGGCGAAAUCCAGAGAUCCGGUGAGGACCGGCGGUGGCGAAGGCGCCCGCCUGGAACGGCUCCGACGCUGAGGGACGAAAGCCGGGGGAGCGAAGGGGAUUAGAAACCCUUGUAGUCC
rnacentral:rRNA from 1 species